GUUCUCGGGGCGGGGUGCAAUUCCCCACCGGUGGUCAAAGUCCACGAAUCGCGCAAGCGACUGAUGCGGUGAAACUCCGCAACCGACGGUAUAGUCCGGAUGUGAGAGAAU
rnacentral:ncRNA from 1 species